AACGAACGCUGGCGGCAGGCCUAACACAUGCAAGUCGAGCGAGGACUUCGGUCCUAGCGGCGGACGGGUGAGUAACGCGUGGGAACGUGCCCCUUGGUACGGAAUAGCCCCGGGAAACUGGGAGUAAUACCGUAUGAGCUCUACGGAGGAAAGAUUUAUCGCCAAGGGAUCGGCCCGCGUUGGAUUAGGUAGUUGGUGGGGUAAUGGCCUACCAAGCCGACGAUCCAUAGCUGGUUUGAGAGGAUGAUCAGCCACACUGGGACUGAGACACGGCCCAGACUCCUACGGGAGGCAGCAGUGGGGGAUCUUAGACAAUGGGCGCAAGCCUGAUCUAGCCAUGCCGCGUGAGCGAUGAAGGCCAUAGGGUUGUAAAGCUCUUUCAGCUGGGAAGAUAAUGACUGUACCAGCAGAAGAAGCCCCGGCUAACUCCGUGCCAGCCGCCGCGGUAA
rnacentral:rRNA from 1 species